rnacentral:piRNA from 1 species
UGAAAUGCAAGCAGGAGUCAGAUGGGA